UCCGCUGGCCAUUACAAUUUAAUACCCAUCCAAAUGUAUGCUAUAUUGUCAAUAGGAAAAAAUGAAAUAACAGUGGUUAAUAGCAUACAACUAGCAUCCGAAUCGGAUGAGUCGUUUUGCUAUUACAUUGUGAAACAAAAUCCAUGUUAGAAUUAAAGAACAAAACAAAAUACAAUAAAAACUGUCCAUCGCACUUGCAUCUGAAUCGGAUGCCUUUGUAUUGUUUUGUAACUUUUUUGUUUAUUGUUGCAGCUGCUGUUGUACCGUUAUUCAUUUUUGAUGCUUCUUUCUUUUUUGAAGCAAAAUUUUAUUCUGUGAAGUGUUUUUGAAAGUGCAAGUUGUGAAUUUUGAACAAAAGUUAAUAAAGUAAAUUAAUAAAAUAAGAAUGUAGUAAGUGUUGUGUGUUAAAUAAGUUAAAUAAAAUGUCAGGAUUCAGUAGGAGUAAUUUAAGACGACUAAAGAAAGUGGAAGCAGACAAUUUAACAAGAAAUCCACAGUUGAGGACGGACUGUUUGGAAAACAAUGAUAUUCUACAAAUUGAGCAGAUUCCAUGCAUUCCAAAAUUGUAGAAGAUUUUGGAAAAUAUGUAAGAAUAUGAAAAACUCUCCGUUAUAAUCCAUUAAUAAUUUAAAUUCUUUCAGGUUAGUAUCAUAAAAAUUAUAAUUUCGCCAGAUUAAAAACUUCUGCAAGAUUAAUGACAUUUCUAUAAUAUUAUCUUACAGCUAUGAUGGUACCCAAAACAAAAAGGUGUUUAAGGAAUAUAAAUUUUAAUCAUGGCCAUUUUCGAAGCUGUCAUAUGUGAAGGAUCCAAUGAACAGGAUUAGAAAUUGUUUCAAAUUCCCUAAGGCCAGACACUUCCGAACAAUGUCCUACAAUAAAAAACUGGAAAAAUAUAUUUUUUUCCUUUAGUCUAAGCUUUAUUUCUUCCCACGUCUUUUGAAUAAGUUUUAUGAAUUUCGUUUUUAUGCAUUAUUUCUAAUUAUAAUAAGAAUAUUUUAUUGUUGAAAACACGUUUAUAAUACGAAUAUUUUAAUAAAAGACAGCUGAAAUUUAA